rnacentral:rRNA from 1 species
AUUGAACGCUGGCGGCAGGCCUAACACAUGCAAGUCGAGCGGAUGAAGGGAGCUUGCUCCUGGAUUCAGCGGCGGACGGGUGAGUAAUGCCUAGGAAUCUGCCUGGUAGUGGGGGAUAACGUCCGGAAACGGGCGCUAAUACCGCAUACGUCCUGAGGGAGAAAGUGGGGGAUCUUCGGACCUCACGCUAUCAGAUGAGCCUAGGUCGGAUUAGCUAGUUGGUGGGGUAAAGGCCUACCAAGGCGACGAUCCGUAACUGGUCUGAGAGGAUGAUCAGUCACACUGGAAUGGAGACCCGGUCCAGACUCCUAGGGGGGGCAGCGGGGGGGAAUAUUGGACAUGGGGCGAAAGCCUGAUCCAGCCAUGCCGGGGGUGUGAAGAAGGUCUUCGGAUUGUAAAGCACUUUAAGUUGGGAGGAAGGGCAGUAAGUUAAUACCUGGCUGUUUUGACGUUACCAACAGAAUAAGCACCGGCUAACUUCGG